AACGCACCUUGCGCCCUUUGGUAUUCCGAAGGGCAUGCCUGUUUGAGUGUCAUUAAAUUCUCAACCUUGAAAGGCUUGUCUUUUCAAUGGCUUGGAUGUGGGGGUUUUUGCUGGCUUCCUUCAGUGGAUGGUCUGCUCCCCUUAAAUGCAUUAGUGGGAUCUCUUGUGGACCGUCACUUGGUGCGAUAAUUAUCUAUGCCAGUUGACUUUGAAGCAAAACUUAUGGGAACCCGCUCAUAACCGUCUUCGGACAACUUAUUGACAUUUUGACCUCAAAUCAGGUAGGACUACCCGCUGAACUUAA
rnacentral:misc_RNA from 1 species